AUUGUAUUCCACUGACUUACAUUGUAACAGGAUAACGUGGAAUGGGGAAUCUGGUGGAGAAUAAACUGAAGUUGGGCAAGGUAGAAGCAGGGAGACCAGUCAGAAGGCUGUGACAAUAACCCAGAUAAGAAAACUGACAUAUAGAAGAGUGAAAUGAGACAAAGAUUCCCAACAAAACUGGAAUAAAAAGAAAAUUGAAAAUAGAUACAAACCACUAUUGCUAAGGUAUGCCAAGAUCAUCUUAUCCUUUAACAAAACAGAAAAUUUUCAAGAAGGGGGCAAUCAUCAAGACUGUCAAGUAUUUCUAGACACUAAACCAAGAUAAGAACUAAGAAGUGCUCAUUUGAUUUAGUGAUACAGAAAUUGCAGAUUUCCUUGGCAACAACAAUUUCAAUGGAAUUGUUAGCAGGAAGAAGCCAGACUGCAAUGGAUUGAGAGGUGAGUGGGAGGUAAGAAAGAAUUCAUGAUGAGUGUAGAAAACUCUUUCAAAGUAUUUUGUUAUGAAUCAGGGUGAAAAAGAUAGUUAGAGAGGAUU
rnacentral:lncRNA from 1 species